rnacentral:rRNA from 1 species
AACGAACGCUGGCGGCAUGCCUAACACAUGCAAGUCGAACGAUGCUUUCGGGCAUAGUGGCGCACGGGUGCGUAACGCGUGGGAAUCUGCCCCUUGGUUCGGAAUAACAGUUAGAAAUGACUGCUAAUACCGGAUGACGACGUAAGUCCAAAGAUUUAUCGCCGAGGGAUGAGCCCGCGUAGGAUUAGCUAGUUGGUGUGGUAAAGGCGCACCAAGGCGACGAUCCUUAGCUGGUCUGAGAGGAUGAUCAGCCACACUGGGACUGAGACACGGCCCAGACUCCUACGGGAGGCAGCAGUGGGGAAUAUUGGACCCUGGGCGAAAGCCUGAUCCAGCAAUGCCGCGUGAGUGAUGAAGGCCUUAGGAUUGUAAAGCUCUUUUACCCGGGAUGAUAAUGACAGUACCGGGAGAAUAAGCUCCGGCUAACUCCGUG